rnacentral:snoRNA from 1 species
AACCCAUGGUGAGGGCACCUUCUGAAUAGAUCCUUGUAUCUCUCCCAUGCAUCGUAAAGUGUUUCAAAGUUCAUCUGUACAAAAGAAGAGAUAUCAUUGUGUAAUU